GGCGGCUCGAGUGGUGGCCACUAUUACUGGGCUUAAAGCGUUCGUAGCUGGUUUGUUAAGUCUCUGGGGAAAUCUGCCGGCUUAACCGGCAGGCGUUUCAGGGAUACUGGCAGACUAGGGACCGGGAGAGGUGAGGGGUACUCCAGGGGUAGGAGUGAAAUCCUGUAAUCCUUGGGGGACCACCUGUGGCGAAGGCGCCUCACCAGAACGGCUCCGACAGUGAGGGACGAAAGCUGGGGGAGCAAACC
rnacentral:rRNA from 1 species